ACCCGCACAAGCGGUGGAUGAUGUGGAUUAAUUCGAUGCAACGCGAAGAACCUUACCUACCCUUGACAUGUCCGGAACUUGCCAGAGAUGGCUUGGUGCCCGAAAGGGAACCGGAACACAGGUGCUGCAUGGCUGUCGUCAGCUUGUGUCGUGAGAUGUUGGGUUAAGUCCCGCAACGAGCGCAACCCUUGUCCUUAGUUGCUACGCAAGAGCACUCUAAGGAGACUGCCGGUGACAAACCGGAGGAAGGUGGGGAUGACGUCAAGUCCUCAUGGCCCUUAUGGGUAGGGCUUCACACGUCAUACAAUGGUCGGUACAGAGGGUUGCCAAGCCGCGAGGUGGAGCCAAUCCCACAAAGCCGAUCGUAGUCCGGAUUGUUCUCUGCAACUCGAGAGCAUGAAGUCGGAAUCGCUAGUAAUCGCAGGUCAGCAUACUGCGGUGAAUACGUUCCCGGGUCUU
rnacentral:rRNA from 1 species